rnacentral:rRNA from 1 species
UACGAAGGGUGCAAGCGUUAAUCGGAAUUACUGGGCGUAAAGGGCGCGUAGGCGGCCUUCUAAGUCGAACGUGAAAUCCCCGGGCUCAACCCGGGAACUGCGUCCGAUACUGGAAGGCUUGAAUCCGGGAGAGGGAUGUGGAAUUCCAGGUGUAGCGGUGAAAUGCGUAGAUAUCUGGAGGAACACCGGUGGCGAAGGCGACAUCCUGGACCGGUAUUGACGCUGAGGCGCGAAAGCCAGGGGAGCAAACGGG